rnacentral:rRNA from 1 species
GACGAACGCUGGCGGCGUGCCUAAUACAUGCAAGUAGAACGCUGAAGGGGGAGCUUGCUUCGCUGGAUGAGUUGCGAAGGGGUGAGUAACGCGUAGGUAACCUGCCUGGUAGCGGGGGAUAACUAUUGGAAACGAUAGCUAAUACCGCAUAAGAGUAGAUGUCGCAUGACAUUUGCUUAAAAGGUGCAAUUGCAUCACUACCAGAUGGACCUGCGUUGUAUUAGCUAGUUGGUGAGGUAACGGCUCACCAAGGCAACGAUACAUAGCCGACCUGAGAGGGUGAUCGGCCACACUGGGACUGAGACACGGCCCAGACUCCUACGGGAGGCAGCAGUAGGGAAUCUUCGGCAAUGGACGGAAGGCUGACCGAGCAACGCCGCGUGAGUGAAGAAGGUUUUCGGAUCGUAAAGCUCUGUUGUAAGAGAAGAACGAGUGUGAGAGUGGAAAGUUCACACUGUGACGGUAUCUUACCAGAAAGGGACGGCUAACUACGUG